rnacentral:rRNA from 1 species
UACGAAGGGGGCUAGCGUUGCUCGGAAUCACUGGGCGUAAAGCGCACGUAGGCGGAUCGUUAAGUCGGGGGUGAAAUCCUGGAGCUCAACUCCAGAACUGCCUUUGAUACUGGCGAUCUUGAGUCCGGGAGAGGUGAGUGGAACUCCGAGUGUAGAGGUGAAUUCGUAGAUAUUCGGAAGAACACCAGUGGCGAAGGCGGCUCACUGGCCCGGUACUGACGCUGAGGUGCGAAAGCGUGGGGAGCAAACAGG